AAACAGGGCAAUGGCUCAUCCUAGGGCUGAGAAGGAAAGAGAGGCUGCUUCUACCAGGUUCUCCAUCCUGCAACACAAGGCUUUGGUAUCAGGAUGCUGCUGGCCUCAUCAAAUGAGUUAGGGAGGAUUCCCUCUUUUUCUAUUGAUUGGAAUAGUUUCAGAAGGAAUGGUACCUGCUCCUCUUUAUACCUCUGGUAGAAUUCGGCUGUGAAUCCGUCUGGUCCUGGACUUUUUUUGGACAGCAGUUGGUUGACAUUUAAAGGGCUACUGUCCCAGAAGGCUGCUUGCCUGGGCCCAUGGCACUGCCAGAAAUCACAAGACUAAGCUGAAAAAGCACAAAGAAGUUUCCUUUCAUUCCAGGAACCUCUUGGCUUGAAUAUGAAAUAGCCUCUUAGUGACACUACACUGCAAUUUCAAAUAAUAGGUUUUUUAUCACCUCUUUGAGAAAUAUCACCUUGGGUUCAUCCCAGAAAAAUAAUACAAAGUAGAAUUUUUUCAAACGUAAUCCCCUUGGGUUCCUCUCAGAAAAAAAUAGAAAGUAGAAUUCUUUCAAACUUAAUCCCC
rnacentral:lncRNA from 10 species